rnacentral:sRNA from 1 species
AUGUACCCCCAUACACUCCGGUUCUUUCGCACCGGCUGCACCCACCUGACGGCUGCUCGCGACGAUUUGUUAGCC